GGUACGACUACGGAACUUCUUACGGACCAAGAAAGUGUAAUAGUUUAAUGGACCCGUAUGAGGCUAAAGCUCUUACGGUGGUGAUAGUUUACACGUUUAAUGAAUGUAUUGUGACCCAGAAGAAGAAAAUAAAAGAGUAAUUUCACCAGCAGGUCACGGGGUCGCUGCAGCCGAUACCAGCUGACAUUGGGCGAAGGCAGACAGACAACCAUCCACGCUCACAUUCACACCUACGGAGUCCAUUUAACCUGAACUGCAUGCCUUCGGACUGUGCAUGGGAGGAACCUGGAGGGAGCCCACGCUGCCACAGGGAGAACGUGCACACAGAAGGGAUGGCCACAUCAAGGAUACAUCUGCAUGAAACGCACAUCCAACGUCAGCCGAUUGUGGAAUGUCAGCAAAAAACCCUGACCAGAUCCUGAAUAAAAUACACACACACACACACACACACACACACAAUGCUGCUCGUGUGUUUGUAGGAGUCACCUGAUUGUGUCCCAAGUGCCAUAUCUAUGGCACUAAUAAGAAUAUCACUGAUUUAAAAAAUAAGUCAUGAAAUAUAACAUUCAUCUUCAACAGAAACUGAUUUAUGAGGCUGUCACUUCAACAUUGUCUGACGUGUUGCAGCUGUCAGCCUCGUAUUGUGUGUUUUGCAGUGAAACUCAACUUCCUCACAUUUAAUGUACUCUACAAUUAUAUGUAAAGUAGGUCGGAUCCUGACUGACAAUUGGCCCGCCAAGGUGAGGUGAGGUAGUCUGAGCAAAAUGGUCGGCUGGUGCACCGAUUGGUUGUGACUGAGAGGGCGGGGUUAGAAAUGACCAUGAGUUAUUUGUGUGUCUGGUGGUGUGAUCAACCAGGGCGUUCAGCAACUUGUCAACAAUGCCUGUACAGAAGCUCAUAAUGACUCACACAAACCCUCGCAAGCACACUGUGCACAAGAAUUACAAAAAUAAUCUGAAUGCACAGCGAGUAAAUACAAGUAAGGUUUAUAUUUUAAGCCCCAAGAUACCACUUUUCUAGUUUUCUAUACCCUCUCUCAUUAGAUCCUCAAAAACACCACAAGGAAUCCCUUGUCCAGACGUGCUGUAGGUGCAACAGAUACUGUCUGCUGAAUGUGUCUCUACAGUAUCCAUUGUCUUCCUCCACGAUGACACAAUGCUCUCUGAACUAGGUAGCCAGCAGCACCGAGAAGCUUGGAUGAGAACAGGGAGAGCGACUUUAUUCUCUGCUCAGGUAGACUCCACUAAUUAUUUACAUAGUUAGAAGUUGAUUGCUGUAUACAUUCUCUGCAUGUAUCUAGUAACAAACAAUGUACAAAGAAUAAGUUUUGAUGAACUUAAAAUAAGAACUCAUUUAAAAGAUGAGAUUCUGCACUUGUUACAGGUUUUACGGAGAGUUUUAAAGCUGUGACUUUAGCAGGUGAAGAUCUCUAGCUGCAGUCCUAGAAACAUAACAAGAACCCCCGCCCCCCGAGAGUGCUCCAGUUCAACCCUCCCUCCCUUCUGUGGCGUCUGUCCUUGAAGCAAAACUAAGAUUUUAUCUUCUCUUCUUCCGUGUCCGGUCAUUGCUUUGAUCACGGCAGCAGUGAGAUGACGCCACACUACUGCAACUCCUAGUGAACAACUCCUGUGAGGUGUCAGUGCUGUUUUGUCUGAUUCACAGUUCACAAUUCAAGAUGUCUACAAUGGCACACAUUGAAGCAGCUGAAAGCGCCAUAAUCUCUGGUGUUUUGGAGAUUCCAUUACCAGCAUUGUUAUUUACUUUCAUUUAAAAGUAAGUUGGUUUGACAUUCUCAACAAAGAACACAAAAUUUAAAAGCGUUUGACUGAAACUUUAAUCCUUCCUCCGCACUGUACUGAACUUGUCUGUCCGUCUACUUUUGGACAAUUCACUGAACAAACCCAAGAGGAUUUCUUCAGCUUGACCUUUUGCCGCGUUAAUAGCUUUGUGUAACUGAGCUGCAUGUUUUAUCUUGUUUUAUGUGUUUACAGGGGCAAAAAUAUCUGUACUCCCUGUUGAAUAUUCAUGGGAACAAAGUACAAUUUGUACAAGAGGACACUCUCUGAGAUCCACAUUUAGUUUAAUGCUACAGGUUGAGUGGUGAGAUGAAGACAGAAAAAAGGGAUUGCGCAAGUGCUUAAUAUUAGAGAUGUCAUAUGCAAAACUUCAGUCAGUAAUUAUUGUUUUUUUAAUUGUAUCUCGUUUCUCUUGCUAACCCUGCCCUUGGCAAUGAUAUUGUUUUGACUCACUGUUGAACAUAAUGUACCAACUCACUGGCACGCAACACGAUACACAGAGGCCCCGGCUAUUUGCCUUACACAUUCUUCUGCUAGCAUAAUAAGUCAGAGCUCGAAGGAAACACCGAAGACAAUUUUUUUAUUAGAAAAAAAAGAUUACAAAACUUUGAGAAGAUUGUGAAUCUACAAUUGUAUAAAAAAAUAGAUUUGUUUUUUCAGUGCAUGGCACUUAAGUUACACAGCUAACCAGGAAGUCUUCUUUCAGACUCCUACAGUCUUUUUGGAAGUAGAGGAGAACAAAUAAUCCUUGAGUUUUUGGAAUGUUCUUUGUCCAUACAUUUCAGUGGCAUCUCCAGUUUAAGGCUCGACUUGACUGCUGAGCUCUGUGUUCUGGUGGAGCGUCACAAAGCGCCCCACAGCACAGAGGCAUCUGGCUCCCAUCAAAAGCUUCAGAACACGUGGCUCAGAGGUCUCCAUCUCCUCCUCCGCCUUUUGUUUAGCAGCUGGGCCAGCUAAUCUAAGAGCCUCGUGCAACUUUAUACACAAAAUGCUCAUUCUAUUUCAACGCUGUGCUAGAAUCAACCACCACAGCUAUCUGACAGCUAACAAUCUGCCGUCUAUCUUCAGUGCCUUAAGCCUCGACACACCUCACGGAAUCCAUCCACAUACAAGCAAACCAUUUUUGAGUUUUCGCAGAAUACAUUCAGCUCUAUGAGAGGACUCCAUGAAACUCAUGCAAUCUUCAACUGCAGAUAAUUACGUCAUGUGUAUUUUUCCCUUUUUCAUAUUGUGACCUGCAUGCAUAAAGUACAUCUGCUUACUUGACUUGUCUGCUCCACCAUCACAUGAUACAGUAUUUGCUUAACUAAUAGUAGAAAUCAUCGCAGGCACACUGCUCCUUGGUCACACGAUGCAAUGUAGGUUGUUAAAAUCUACUGUGUUGCCAGGACAAGAAGAGUUGUAAAGUUAAGAUUACACCGUUUUACGCUAGUCAAUCAUGACAACGUACUUCUAAAUAUAUGUCAGCUUCUCCAGAGUGCUUUUUUAUACACUAGGUGCAACUUCAACUCUCCACCUAACACAUAUCAAGUGAUCUUUCACCCCCAAUAUGUCCUAAACUCCUUAAAUCUCAAAAUUCACUUCAUAUGAGGGAAUUGUUGAUUGUGAGAUAUUUGUAACUCACUUCAUAAAAA